rnacentral:rRNA from 1 species
AUUGAACGCUGGCGAAAUGCUUUACACAUGCAAGUCGAACGGCAGCACGAACUUCGGUCUGGUGGCGAGUGGCGAACGGGUGAGUAAUACAUCGGAACGUGCCCAGUCGUGGGGGAUAACGUAGCGAAAGCUACGCUAAUACCGCAUACGAUCUAAGGAUGAAAGCGGGGGAUCGCAAGACCUCGCGCGAUUGGAGCGGCCGAUGGCAGAUUAGGUAGUUGGUAGGGUAAAGGCCUACCAAGCCGACGAUCUGUAGCUGGUCUGAGAGGAUGAUCAGCCACACUGGGACUGAGACACGGCCCAGACUCCUACGGGAGGCAGCAGUGGGGAAUUUUGGACAAUGGACGCAAGUCUGAUCCAGCCAUUCCGCGUGCAGGAUGAAGGCCCUCGGGUUGUAAACUGCUUUUGUACAGAACGAAAAGGCUCUGGUUAAUACCUGGGGCUCUUGACGGUACUGUAAGAAUAAGCACCGGCUAACUACGUGCCAGCCGCCGCGGUAA